GACGGAGGGGGCAAGCGUUGUCCGGACUCACUGGGCGUAAAGCGCACGUAGGCGGUUGGCUGCGUCGGUGCUGAAAGCGCCAGGCUUAACCUGGCGAGGCGUGCCGAUACGAGCCGACUUGAGGCAGGCAGAGGGUGGCGGAAUUCCGGGUGUAGUGGUGAAAUGCGUAGAGAUCCGGAGGAACGCCUGUGGCGCAAGCGGCCACCUGGGCCUGUCCUGACGCUGAGGUGCGAAAGCGUGGGGAGCGAACCGG
rnacentral:rRNA from 1 species